UUUAUUAUUUUUCUUUUUAUUAUUUUAUUCCCUUUUCUUUUGUAGCAGAGAGGGAGAUAUAAAGUGGAAAAAGACCCUCCCUUCAUUUACUAUCCGUUGGACUCUAUGUACCGGAGAGAGAGAGAGAGUUUUUUAUUUUCAUUAUUAAUAUUCAAUUAAUUUAAAUGCUAUUUUUGAUUGGAUGAUAGAAAUGGACACGGAUUGCUAAUGAGGAGCAUUGAUCAAUUUGAAUUGAUGGCCUGGAUCGAAUCAAAGAAGCACACCAAGAAGCACAUAUUAUUUAAAUAAAUUAAAAUGCCUAUAAUGUUGUUUUUAGAUGACUUAAUCAAUUUCAAUCAAUUGAAUCAAAUAAAAUUCACCACUUUUAAAAUAAUCAUGAUAAAAUUAAAAUGAUAACAUGGGAAAUUCUAUUUAUUUAAUCUUACUAUUUUGACGAAAGAACAAAAUUAAAAUGACUAAAAAUGAAUAAAAGUCGGGCGAAAAUUUGCUCGAAAAAUUAAAUCAGAUGCACUAAAAUGAUCAACACAAAAUAUACUUAUUGAAAAAAUACAGCGUUUCUUUAAGUUUUGAAAUAAAUUUUCACCGGUUAAAAGGCUCAAACGGAUUAAAAUGCAGCUGAAAAAG
rnacentral:lncRNA from 1 species